UAAGAUGACUGAAAUAAGUGGUGGAUUGUAGCUCCAUAAAUAAAGGUUUAAAUCCUUUUCUUAC
rnacentral:tRNA from 1 species